rnacentral:lncRNA from 1 species
GGGGUUUGGGACUGCUGCUGCUGCUGCUGCUGCUGCUGCUGCUGCUGCUCUUUAAUCUCCAGAGUCGUCGACAGAGACACACUCUCGAGGCAGGCCCCGUUUCGUUUCGUUCGUUUGUUCGUCUUUUUGUGUGUGCGCGGGCAGCGGCGGCGGCGGCGGUGGCGGCACAACAAGUUUUUCAACAGAAGCAGCCGGCACACACACAGAGAGAGAGAGAGAGAGAGAGAGAGAGAGAGAGAGCGGAAUACCGAAAAAUCCCACACAAAUAUAUCUAACUGUUAACCCCCAUUAUAGUUAGGAGAAAGGGCGACGCACUAACCUUAAAAAGAGACUAUCCACAGAUCUAAAAAUAGAUCGCAGAUAUAAUUUCCGAAGCGAUCGAUAAGGAAACAAAUUCAUUUCAAUGCGCAUUUGUAUGUAUGCAUCACGUGUGCAUGGUAUGUGCCUUGAGAUCACUUUUGGAGUUUGAACUGCGAGGGGGUUAAAGGGAAUGGAAAAGGUUUUUUCGCAUUAACCAAGGCAAUCAUUGUUACAUGUCGAGUUACAUAUGUAUGUAUGCAUGCAUAAGCCUUCUCUCUCUCUCUCUCUCUCUGUGUCUCUCUUUUUCUGUCUGUCCUCUCUAACACUUUGCGCUCUUCACUGUGAAUCUCCCGUUCACCCACUCUGGCUCUCUCUCUCUUGUGUGCUGCUUUUCGCACGCUACGCUACCUACUAUGUUGCUACUUUUCAAUACCCUACAAUAGAGGAUGGUGCCAAUUGUUUAAUUGCUUGCUUACACACAUAUAAUAAGUGUACUUAAGCGGCUACAUUUGUAUGUGCAUACAACCGUGAAUAUACC